UAUAUAUAGUAAAGUAUUGUUUUUGCCUUCAAUAUUUGGAGUAAGUUUUAAAGUUGUUCUUAACGUUUAAAUUAUACUAUUUAAGUUUCUAAUAUUUCAAAAUUGUCUCAAUGUUAUCCUGUUGUUAAAAAUCUAUUAACAGAAUUGACAGCAGACAAAAUUGAGACGAUUUUAAAACGUUAGAGAUUUAAAUAAGAUGAAAAUGUUGGGGAUAAAAAAGAUACAUUACUCUUAGAAGAGGUAAAUACCAAAUCAGUACCCGAAAGAUUCUAGCGCUGACAAAAUAGUACCUCACUAUUGUUAUUGACAAAAUGGUAUCUGAAUGAUUUAAAAAAUUGAUAAGUGUGUCCUCGUGCUCGUCGAACCACAGCUCCAGUGAAGACGAUGCUGAGCUGGCCAUCGAUUUUUGCUGACAAGAUAAGUUUAAUUUUAGCUGAAAUUUUUAAUUAAAUAAAUCAUCAACCUAGCUGAAAAAUCUCUAAUUGAAAUUGAAUUUGCCCUAAAUCAAAUGGAUUUGCCCUAAGCCCUAAAUUGCUCUCUUCGUUCACGCAUACUCCAGGUUACAAAAUUGAAAGAUGCAUACAGCUAGAGCUCGUGAAAAAGCUGCAAUCGGGAGAAAGCAGUCAUCGAUGCAAGCCUUCGACGUGGAUGAUGGUUCAGAUAUUGUGACCAAAACCUACGACGAAACAUGCUUUUGUCCCCUUCCAAUGGUUCCGUUGAAGUCAAAAACAAGUAACAACCCUAAUAGAUGGUUUCUAUGAUGCCCUAUGUGAAAGAACACACAAAUGCGAUGCGGGUAUUUUCAAUGGUUAGAUGAAAUAUAAGAGCAAUGUGUGGAAGGAGAAGUAUUUUCGGAGAAUAGUAACAUGGUGGGCAAAUCAGAACCAAAAAAGAAAAGCAGAAUCAAUGUCAAGUGUGGGGAUGGCCUGGAAAUUGAUAGGAUGAUGAUGGUGCUAUCUGUGGUGAAUGAAAUGAAGGAGCAUCUGAAGAGGGUUAAAUUGUUGCUGAUUUUCAUUUGUAUAUUGAUUGGGUUAAAUUUGGCUUUCAAUAUGUUUUAUUUGGCUAAGUAGGUAGACAGUGGACAGUUUAAGAGUUUAACAAUGACACUUUUUUACUUUGUAAUGUUGAAAUCAUUGUAAUUGUGAUGAGUUAAUGGA